CACGUAGGGUGCGAGCGUUGUCCGGAAUUAUUGGGCGUAAAGAGCUCGUAGGCGGUGUGUCGCGUCGGCCGUGAAAACCUGUGGCUUAACUAUGGGCUUGCGGUCGAUACGGGCAUCACUGGAGUUCGGCAGGGGAGACUGGAAUUCCUGGUGUAGCGGUGAAAUGCGCAGAUAUCAGGAGGAACACCGGUGGCGAAGGCGGGUCUCUGGGCAGUAACUGACGCUGAGGAGCGAAAGCGUGGGGAGCGAACAGG
rnacentral:rRNA from 1 species